AACUCAAAGGAAUUGACGGGGACCCGCACAAGCGGUGGAGCAUGUGGUUUAAUUCGAAGCAACGCGAAGAACCUUACCAAAUCUUGACAUCCUUUGACAACUCUAGAGAUAGAGCUUUCCCCUUCGGGGGACAAAGUGACAGGUGGUGCAUGGUUGUCGUCAGCUCGUGUCGUGAGAUGUUGGGUUAAGUCCCGCAACGAGCGCAACCCUUAAGCUUAGUUGCCAUCAUUAAGUUGGGCACUCUAAGUUGACUGCCGGUGACAAACCGGAGGAAGGUGGGGAUGACGUCAAAUCAUCAUGCCCCUUAUGAUUUGGGCUACACACGUGCUACAAUGGACAAUACAAAGGGCAGCGAAACCGCGAGGUCAAGCAAAUCCCAUAAAGUUGUUCUCAGUUCGGAUUGUAGUCUGCAACUCGACUACAUGAAGCUGGAAUCGCUAGUAAUCGUAGAUCAGCAUGCUACGGUGAAUACGUUCCCGGGUCUUGUACACACCGCCCGUCACACCACGAGAGUUUGUAACACCCGAAGCCGGUGGAGUAACCUUUUAGGAGCUAGCCGUCGAAGGUGGGACAAAUGAUUGGGGUGAAGUCGUAACAAGGUAGCCGUAUCGGAAGGUGCGGCUGGAUCACCUCCUUU
rnacentral:rRNA from 1 species